UCAAGCUACAAAGGGCGCAUGGUGAAUGCCUUGGCAUCAGGAGCCGAUGAAGGACGUGAUAAGCUGCGAUAAGCUUCGGGUAGGCGCACAUAGCCUGAGAUCCGAAGAUCUCCGAAUGAGGAAACUCACAUGGGAAACCCCAUGUAUCAUUAAGUGAAUACAUAGCUUAAUGAAGGUAACCCAGGGAACUGAAACAUCUAAGUACCUGGAGGAAGAGAAAGAAAAAUCGAUUUUCUUAGUAGCGGCGAGCGAAAGGGAAAGAGCCCAAACCGGAAACUUGUUUCCGGGGUUGUGGACAUAACAUAAAAGUGGAGGCUAUUGUAACUGAAGAGAACUGGAAAGUUCCACCGUAGAAGGUAAUAGUCCUGUAAGUGAAACGAGAAGACCACGAGUUAUGAUCCAGAGUACCACGAGACACGUGAAACCUUGUGGGAAGCAGGGAGGACCACCUCCCAAGGCUAAAUACUACCUGAUGACCGAUAGUGAAGCAGUACCGUGAGGGAAAGGUGAAAAGAACCCCGGGAGGGGAGUGAAAUAGAACCUGAAACCGUGUGCCUACAACCGCUCAGAGCCCCUUAUGAGGGUGAUGAGGUGCUUUUUGUAGAACGAGCCAACGAGUUACGGUAUGUAGCAAGGUUAAGUACUUAAGGUACGGAGCCGAAGGGAAACCGAGUCUGAAUAGGGCGACUAGUUGCAUGCCGUAGACCCGAAACCGGGUGACCUAUCCAUGGCCAGGUUGAAGCGAGGGUAAAACCUCGUGGAGGACCGAACCACGUUGCUGUUGAAAAAGCAUGGGAUGAGCUGUGGAUAGCGGAGAAAUUCCAAUCGAACCCGGAGAUAGCUGGUUCUCUCCGAAAUAGCUUUAGGGCUAGCGUCGAGUAUGAGUAGUGGAGGUAGAGCACUGAAUGGGCUAGGGGGCAUAGCGCUUACCGAACCUUAUCAAACUCCGAAUGCCACAUACUUUGAGCUCGGCAGUCAGACUACGAAUGAUAAGAUCCGUGGUCAAAAGGGAAACAGCCCAGAUCGUCAGCUAAGGUCCCAAAGUGUAAGUUAAGUGGGAAAGGAUGUGAGAUUUCUAAGACAACUAGGAUGUUGGCUUAGAAGCAGCCAUUCAUUAAAAGAGUGCGUAAUAGCUCACUAGUCGAGAGAUCUUGCGCCGAAAAUGUAACGGGGCUAAACUUACCACCGAAGCUACGGGCUUGAACUUAGUUCAAGCGGUAGGAGAGCGUCGUAACCGGGCUGAAGUCGUACCGUAAGGAGCGGUGGACUGGUUACGAGUGAGAAUGUUGGCAUCAGUAGCGAGAUGUGGGUGAGAAUCCCACAGGCCGAAAACCUAAGGUUUCCUCAGGAAGGUUCGUCCGCUGAGGGUUAGUCGGGACCUAAGCCGAGGCCGAAAGGCGUAGGUGAUGGACAACUGGUUGAUAUUCCAGUACCACUACCAUCGUUAUUAUCGAUGGCGUGACGCAGGAGGAUAGUGUGUGCUAGCUAUUGGAUGCUAGUCUAAGCGUUUAGGCAGUGAGAGUAGGCAAAUCCGCUCUCAUAAUGCUGAGGCGUGAUGGGGAAGGUUCUACGGAACCGAAGUACAUGAUUCCACGCUGCCAAGAAAAGCGUCUAGAGAGAGAAGUAGUGCCCGUACCGCAAACCGACACAGGUAGGUGAGGAGAGAAUCCUAAGGCCGGCGGAAGAAUUACAGUUAAGGAACUCGGCAAAUUGACCCCGUAAGUUCGCGAGAAGGGGUGCCUACGAGAGUAGGCCGCAGAGAAUAGGCCCAAGCAACUGUUUAGCAAAAACACAGGUCUCUGCUAAAGCGUAAGCUGAUGUAUAGGGGCUGACGCCUGCCCGGUGCUGGAAGGUUAAGGGGAACACUUAGCGCAAGCGAAGGUGUGAACUUAAGCCCCAGUAAACGGCGGCCGUAACUAUAACGGUCCUAAGGUAGCGAAAUUCCUUGUCAGGUAAGUUCUGACCCGCACGAAUGGCGUAAUGACUUGGGCACUGUCUCAACUGUAAAUCCGGCGAAGUUGUAGUGCGAGUGAAGAUGCUCGCUACCCGCGAUUGGACGGAAAGACCCCGUAGAGCUUUACUGUAGCUUAGCAUUGAGUUUUGGUAUUGUCUGUACAGGAUAGGUGGGAGACUAGGAAACUAGGGCGUCAGCCUUGGUGGAGUCAACCUUGGGAUACCACCCUGACAGUACUGAAAUUCUAACUGGCGGCCAUGAAUCUGGUCACAGGACAUUGUUAGGUGGGCAGUUUGACUGGGGCGGUCGCCUCCUAAAAAGUAACGGAGGCGCCCAAAGGUUCCCUCAGAACGGUCGGAAAUCGUUCGAAGAGUGCAAAGGCAGAAGGGAGCCUGACUGCGACACCCACAAGUGGAGCAGGGACGAAAGUCGGGCUUAGUGAUCCGGUGGUACCUCGUGGGAGGGCCAUCGCUCAACGGAUAAAAGCUACCUCGGGGAUAACAGGCUGAUCUCCCCCAAGAGUCCACAUCGACGGGGAGGUUUGGCACCUCGAUGUCGGCUCGUCGCAUCCUGGGGCUGAAGUAGGUCCCAAGGGUUGGGCUGUUCGCCCAUUAAAGCGGCACGCGAGCUGGGUUCAGAACGUCGUGAGACAGUUCGGUCCCUAUCCGUCGCGGGCGUAGGAAAUUUGAGAGGAGCUGUCCUUAGUACGAGAGGACCGGGAUGGACUGACCUCUGGUGUACCAGUUGUUCCGCCAGGAGCACAGCUGGGUAGCUAAGUCGGGAAUGGAUAAACGCUGAAAGCAUCUAAGCGUGAAGCCAACCUCAAGAUGAGAUUUCCCAUAGCAUAAGCUAGUAAGAUCCCUUGAAGAACACAAGGUUGAUAGGUCGGGGGUGUAAGCAUGGUAACAUGUUCAGCUGACCGAUACUAAUAGAUCGAGGGCUUGACCAA
rnacentral:rRNA from 2 species